GUAUGCCAAUAAAAUAGAUAACCUGGACAAAAUGGACAAAUUCCUAGAAGCAUACAAACUACCUUCACUAACUCUAGAAUUCAUAUAAUAUCUCAACAGACCAAUAAGAAGUAAAGAGACUGAAUCAGUAAACAAAAAAUUCCAGUCAAAGAAAAACCCAGGACCAGACGGCUUUACUGGUAAAUUUUACUGAACAGUCAAAGAAGAAUUAACACCAGUCCUUCCCAAACUCUUUCAAAGUAUUGAAGAGAAGGAAACAACUUUCAACUCCUUCUAUGAGACCAGCAUCACCCUAAUACCAAAGCCAGAUAAAGUGUCUGACUGUUUGCCUCAUCUUGUCCAAAUCUAACUGAAGUUAUCACCAAGAAUAUAAAUUUUAAGCCUCAGCAUAACGUGCAAGAUAUGACCAUGGUCUAGCAGAGAUUUCUUCAAAAGAGGGGAACACAAACUAUGCUGUUCUAACAGAUGCCACAACUUUCAGGUUAUUUUAGAAAUCAGGCUAGCCACUGCUUUAAGAGAAGAGUUCAUUUAAGUUCUUUAGCCUAAGGACCCACCUGUUAACUUGGUCUGAAGGAGGAGACACAGUUCAGCAACAGGAGCCCAGGCCCUGGAGAAAGGCUAAGGUUCAAGUCCUGGCCCUGAUCCUUGCUAGCUGGAUAAUCUUUGGCAAGUUGGUCAACUUCUCCUUUGUCUGCAUAAUGAAGAUAAAUACUAACAGUACCUACUUCAGAGAACCAGGAAAUGUGGCCUACUGUGGAAAGCUGCCUCCCGAAUCGGGCCUAGCGUAUGCGCUGCAGCCUGCUCUAGAGUUACCCCCGCCCAUCGAGUGAGCCAAGAUGGCGCCUGCAUCCUGUUUCCGCAUAGUGACGCAUGUAUCCGCCACCCGCUCC